UACAGAGGGUGCAAGCGUUGUUCGGAAUUAUUGGGCGUAAAGGGCGCGUAGGCGGUGCGGUAAGUCUGUAGUGAAAUCUCUGGGCUCAACUCAGAGUCUGCUGCAGAAACUGCCGUGCUUGAGUGUGGGAGAGGUGAGUGGAAUUCCCGGUGCAGCGGUGAAAUGCGUAGAUAUCGGGAGGAACACCUGUGGCGAAAGCGGCUCACUGGACCACAACUGACGCUGAGGCGCGAAAGCGUGGGGAGCAAACAGG
rnacentral:rRNA from 1 species